UUCUUCGGGGACCGACACAACAAAUUCUCAAGACUGUCAAUGAAAUGAUCUUUUUUAGCCAUAGAAAUAGACCCUCUGACCGACGGUAUGAAGUAACCGUGCCGUUUCGUCGCAAAGGGUAUUUGACAUGGGUGCCUGCCUCUAUCCACCUUCAUGAAAUAAAAUAAGAAAAAAGGAAGAAGAGGAGAUAAUUGGGACUGUGGAUGUCAAUGCACACCACUAUUUUGCCGUUCAGACUGGCUAUUAUGGAUCGAGAGAGAAUGGGAUUAGAUAAACUUGCCAAGCGAAAAAGCUCAAAGAGACAAGAGAGAAGUACAUCGGAUUCCAUGGGCCCCUGUGAACCUCAGCUAUGUCUGUUUGACAGUGUCGUCUUUUCAACGAGUUCGAGAUUCAAUGAUCAGAGCGGAGGUUGACGUUACGUAGGUCGCUUUCCAACUCGAACUGAAUUCUUACUUGAUUGACUGAAGCAGAAGUUUUACCGACAACAUCUAGUAAAUCAGUUUACCAGCAAAACAUGGUUUCAUAGUAAAUUGCGAGGUCGUAGUGCUUUUUGUGCAGGUUUCAGGUUGUUUAAAUAGAUG
rnacentral:lncRNA from 1 species